rnacentral:siRNA from 1 species
UUUUUCAAUGUGUGUCGCUAGG